UGCAGCAACGCCGCGUGAGGGACGACGGCCUCCGGGUUGUAAACCUCUUUUAGCAGGGAAGAAGCGAAAGUGACGGUACCUGCAGAAAAAGCACCGGCUAACUACGUGCCAGCAGCCGCGGUAAUACGUAGGGUGCAAGCGUUAUCCGGAAUUAUUGGGCGUAAAGAGCUCGUAGGCGGUUUGUCGCGUCUGCUGUGAAACCCCGAGGCUCAACCUCGGGCCUGCAGUGGGUACGGGCAGACUAGAGUGCGGUAGGGGAGAUUGGAAUUCCUGGUGUAGCGGUGGAAUGCGCAGAUAUCAGGAGGAACACCGAUGGCGAAGGCAGAUCUCUGGGCCGUAACUGACGCUGAGGAGCGAAAGGGUGGGGAGCAAACAGGCUUAGAUACCCUGGUAGUCCACCCCGUAAACGUUGGGAACUAGUUGUGGGGUCCAUUCCACGGAUUCCGUGACGCAGCUAACGCAUUAAGUUCCCCGCCUGGGGAGUACGGCCGCAAGGCUAAAACUCAAAGGAAUUGACGGGGACCCGCACAAGCGGCGGAGCAUGCGGAUUAAUUCGAUGCAACGCGAAGAACCUUACCAAGGCUUGACAUAUACGAGAACGGGCUAGAAAUAGUCAACUCUUUGGA
rnacentral:rRNA from 1 species